UCAGAAAUCAAAUAUAUUUCACAAUAAUGCAUUUCGAUCAUUUCGAUGAUGUCAUGAUUCAGAGAUCAAAUGUACGUUUAUUGCUCUCAUGAACCGGUGAAAUCAUUGCACUUGAACACCCAACGCUCAAAUAGAUCAUUUAACAUUAACAUUGAGAGGGAGCCCCUUUUUGAGCUCCAGAUAAACAUGAACAUGAACCAUAAACAAGGUGGAGACGUUGGUGUCCAGCACUAGACUUUCCCAGAACUCAUUGAUGCCAAAUCAUGUCAUGAAUCCACAUGCAGGCACGCAUGAUAUGCAAUCGAAUAAAUAAUGCAAGAAGCAUUUCGCAAGUACUUUGGAAAUAGUUUAGGGUCACUCACCUCCAUGGCUCAGAAAUCAUCCAUCAAAUAUCAUUGCCUUGCUCAAAUCCAAGUCUUAAAUCACAAACUCAAUGCAAACAAGUCCUUUAAAAGUUCGGACAGCAUUUCCCCUAAAUUUGCUAACUUUUCCAGCCAUCAUGGCUUCAUUAUUUCCUCAGCCAGUCCC
rnacentral:lncRNA from 1 species